AAGAAGUUGGCAACACAUCAGAAUCUUUCAGGAACACAAACAGAAGCCCACAGUGUUCCCUUAGCACCUAAUUUCUCCUCCCAUUUCCCCUCAGGCACCUCUAAUUUAAAUUUCCAGAAUUUGAACCUGGCUGCUUUCAGCUGAUAGCAGCACUUCUUUUUACAUCCUGGCAGAAGAGAAGACUGUAGUUGAUUAAUGUAGAAUAAAACACAGACAAGUUUGCCAUGAAAAAACUCAUCACAUUUAUUUGAUUAAACAAAAAUAAAAUAAACUGCAUAGGAACAUUUUAAAGUCCAGAGAGACACUGACUUUGUUUUAAGGCUGCCAGUAGCUGAUACAUCAUCUCCUUGCUACAUCCUUCAGCCUUCCCUAUGGACCACAGAGAUACAUUCAGAAGCCUCCAUUAACACAAAAAGAGUUCUAACAUUUUGCUUGCUUAUUCUACAUAAAAGUUUGCACAUAACCUGUCGUGCUUGCCUCGCCGCAGUACUCAACAUCCCCCAGCCAGGAAUGUUGCUUUUUGUCCAAGUAGAAAUGUGAUGCCCUUCCCGGAGCAUGGCAGCUCUUGUCACAGCCUGUUUCAUUAUCAAUUAGAUACAGAAGCUCUGAGCAGCUCAUUAAAAGCAAAGCACUGUCUGUCCUGCUGAGACAUUUUUAUUAUUAUUAGGAGAGCAGCAUGAUUAAUCACUUAAGAGAAACAACUGCAGAACAGGAAACUACAAACCCAAUUGUCUCAGGAUGCCCAACAUCCACGGGCUGACAAAAUCAUUCUGGAUCCUGAUGUGAGCCUGCAUCGAGGCAACACCAGUUAUACACUAGGAAUGAAGUUUUAUAGGAUGGGGCCAUGCAUGUACAGUCAAUUAAAUGAGGGCAGAAAAUGCAAGUUUGUCACACCAGUUUCAAGUGCCCGACCUCCAUUUUGUCACAGGCUUCCAAUUUCUACUUGAGCAAGGCCAGAGCUCCUCACACUGCAGGCACGUGUUUGACACCCUCGCUGCGCCAACCCAGCAGCACUUGACAGAAGAAUUUCCCUGAGACAGUUU
rnacentral:lncRNA from 1 species